rnacentral:tRNA from 1 species
GCGCCUGUGGCCUAAUUGGAUAGGGCAUCUGACUUCGGAUCAGACGGUUACGGGUUCGAAUCCUGUCGGGCGCGCCA